CUUCGCGUCGCCUCCCACACAGUUUACCGAAAUCUUUUUCCGCAAGGAAAGUCUAUUGCAGGCCCCCUUCCACGGGUGUAUGAGCUCGGAACUUAACCCUAAGAUAAGAUCUGGUUGUAGUAUUGCGUCAGUUUGACCCGUCUUUUAAGCCUACCAGGGAGUUGAAACGUGUCGACCGCUGAAAAGCGGCCGGCUGGGAACAAGUCUUCGGUGGGUGGACUUAUGGGGAGAACCGUCCAGUCACGGUAUAGUGCCAUACUGUGCAAGAGAUUGGCGCCAUGAGUCAAUUGGAGAAGAGCCUCUGUUCUGAGGACGCUCGUCAGCCCGAUCUACUGGAACAGGUUGGCCAAUAUGGGCAGUUCCAAAGAUGCUGUUGACAAAGAGAGAAAGUGUCAUUUCGAAGACCAGCGGGGAGAGUUGAGCCAAGCAUUGGAUACAUACUAUCAGUCACUGCGUUUCAUUGAAUAUCACGGAUGGAUUGCCUCGCCGGAGUCACUCGUCAAGUACGAGUGUAGCGAGGAUUUCAUGGGCACAAACAGAAACACUUGACUGAUACACUGACUCACCAAACUUGAUAUGCUCUCGGAUCUCUCGACGUCGCCUAAGUUAUUUCUUGCCGUGUCACUUCUGACCGCGUUGUCAACAAGCACUUGGAACCACAUCUGGGGUAACCCCCAAUAUGUGUGAUCACAUCAAGCCUGGCCACACGCAUUAACUUUUCAUUGCAAGCAUCUGGCACCUGCAAGCAAUAACGAAAGACCCCAGUCAAUCGUUGUAGUGUCUCUUGACCUUCAACAAUUUCCUCGACAGCCUUCCGAAAGGAAUGAAUCGAGACGAAAGCGCGGUUUUUAUGGAUGUCUUUUGUCCGCGCGUCGAUGCCCUCCUUGCUAGCAUUGACCAUGCAUAAUGGAGAGGAUACAAAAACUAGUCCUUGUUGGCAGCGAAGAACACACAGAAGGAGUUGUUGUUUUAUUGACGGUCGAGUAUCACGUUUGCUAUGUUUCCCCUUGCUCUGGUCACUGAGUCGCAGGAAAGCGUGGAAGCACCUGGGUCAAUGAGUACGACGCGCCCCUGAAUCCUCUCUGUCGGUUUGUUUAUACAUUGAGCCUUUUCCUGGGACCCAUCCUGAGUUGGAGUCAAAGUUUCGUACUUGUCCGGGACUGGGGGAAAUGGAGUAUUGGCAUGAAAGGUGAACGGCAAUCGGGUAACGGGUAACGAAUUGGCACUGAACCGAUUGGUUUUAAGGGCAGGCCUCGAGGGAUAAGGCAGCUCUGGUUGUCCCCGUGCCAGCAAUGGUAGGAGGACAACCCCCCA
rnacentral:telomerase_RNA from 1 species